rnacentral:rRNA from 1 species
AAAGAGGGAAGUGCCUCGCUAAGAGGAGCCUGAGACAGGUGCUGCAUGGCUGUCGUCAGCUCGUGUCGUGAGAUGUUGGGUUAAGUCCCGCAACGAGCGCAACCCUUGUCUUUUAGUUGCCAUCAUUCAGUUGGGCACUCUAAAGAGACUGCCGGUGUCAAACCGGAGGAAGGUGGGGAUGACGUCAAGUCCUCAUGGCCUUUAUGACCAGGGCUACACACGUACUACAAUGGCCGGUACAAAGGGCAGCCACUUAGCGAUAAGGAGCCAAUCCCGUAAAGCCGGUCUCAGUCCGGAUUGGAGUCUGCAACUCGACUCCAUGAAGUUGGAAUCGCUAGUAAUCGCAGAUCAGCACGCUGCGGUGAAUACGUUCCCGGGCCUU